rnacentral:rRNA from 1 species
CGCGGCCUAUCAGCUUGUUGGUGGGGUAACGGCCUACCAAGGCGACGACGGGUAGCUGGUCUGCGAGGAUGAUCAGCCACACUGGGACUGAGACACGGCCCAGACUCCUACGGGAGGCAGCAGUUAGGAAUCUUGCGCAAUGGGCGAAAGCCUGACGCAGCAACGCCGCGUGGGGGAUGAAGGCUCUCGGGUUGUAAACCCCUUUCAGCAGGGACGAUUAUGACGGUACCUGCAGAAGAAGGACCGGCCAACUACGUGCCAGCAGCCGCGGUAAUACGUAGGGUCCGAGCGUUGUCCGGAUUCAUUGGGCGUAAAGAGCUCGUAGGCGGCUCAGUUAGUCGGAUGUGAAAACUCAGGGCUCAACCCGGAGACGCCAUCCGAUACUGCUGUGGCUUGAGUCUGGUAGGGGAACACGGAAUACCUGGUGUAGCGGUGAAAUGCGCAGAUAUCAGGUGGAACACCGAUGGCGAAGGCAGUGUUCUGGGCCAGUACUGACGCUGAGGAGCGAAAGCGUGGGGAGCAAACAGGAUUAGAUACCCUGGUAGUCCACGCCGUAAACGUUGGGCACUAGGUGUGGGUCCUCAUCAACGGGAUCCGUGCCGUAGCUAACGCAUUAAGUGCCCCGCCUGGGGAGUACGG